UCCGGUUGAUCCUGGCGGAGGCCACUGCUAUUGGGGUCCGAUUAAGCCAUGCAAGUCGAACGAUCUUCGGAUCGUGGCAAACGGCUCAGUAACACGUGGAUAACCUACCCUUAGGACUGGGAUAACCCCGGGAAACUGGGGACAAUACCAGAUAUAUAGAGGCGCCUGGAAUGGUCCUCUACUUAAAGCUCCGGCGCCUAAGGAUGGAUCUGCGGCCGAUUAGGUAGUUGGUGGGGUAAAGGCCCACCAAGCCGAUUAUCGGUACGGGUUGUGAGAGCAAGAGCCCGGAGAUGGAACCUGAGACAAGGUUCCAGGCCCUACGGGGCGCAGCAGCGCGAAACCUCCGCAAUGCGAGCAAUCGCGACGGGGGGACCCAAGUGCCACUCUUAACGGGGUGGCUUUAUGAAGUGUAAAAGCUUCAGAAUAAGGGCUGGCAGACCGGUGCCAGCGCCGCGUACCCCGGCAGCUCAGUGGUGGCCGUUUUUAUGGGCCUAAGCGUCGUACCGGCCUGAUAAGUCUCUGUGAAUCCCUAGCUUACUGGCGAAUUGCUGAAAUACAUCAGCUUGAGCCGGAAGUUAGGUACCCCGGG
rnacentral:rRNA from 1 species